UUGGAUUUAUUUUGUGGUGGCUUUUCUUGUAUUUUAGAAUGGAGAGAUCAUACCUGUUGAUGUAAAUGUUGGUGAAAAAGUUCUUCUUCCCGAAUAUGGAGGAACCAAAGUUGUGCUUGAUGAUAAGGAAUACUAUUUAUUCAGAGAUGGUGACAUUUUAGGAAAAUUCCUGCCAUAACUGCAAUUAUUUUUUUUUUGCCUUUUUCUCCAUUCCAAAGGCUAUUGGAAGCUAACAUGAUGUAAUUAUUGUAAUGUAUUUGCUACAAUAAAAUUAUAAAAA